rnacentral:rRNA from 1 species
AUUGAACGCUGGCGGCAUGCUUUACACAUGCAAGUCGAACGGCAACAGGCCGCAAGGUGCUGACGAGUGGCGAACGGGUGAGUAAUGCAUCGGAACGUGCCCAGUCGGGGGGGAUAACGCAGCGAAAGCUGCGCUAAUACCGCAUACGAUCUCUGGAUGAAAGCGGGGGACCGAAAGGCCUCGCGCGAUUGGAUCGGCCGAUGUCAGAUUAGGUAGUUGGUGGGGUAAAGGCCCACCAAGCCAACGAUCUGUAGCUGGUCUGAGAGGACGACCAGCCACACUGGGACUGAGACACGGCCCAGACUCCUACGGGAGGCAGCAGUGGGGAAUUUUGGACAAUGGGCGCAAGCCUGAUCCAGCAAUGCCGCGUGCAGGAAGAAGGCCUUCGGGUUGUAAACUGCUUUUGUACGGAACGAAACGGUCCGGGUUAAUACCCUGGGCUAAUGACGGUACCGUAAGAAUAAGCACCGGCUAACUACGUGCCAGCCGCCGCGGUAAGAC